AGGAUCAACGGGCGGUGGUGGCUCUAGUGGUGGAGAUGGUGGAUUCAGCCUUCACUUUGGUACAUCAGCUCCAUCUGGAGGCGGCUCUAUAAUUUCAGGUGGAGGAAGUAUGACAUCAGGUAAA